rnacentral:lncRNA from 1 species
GGCCUGCCCCCCUUGCCCCGCCUCUGUAAGCCACGCCCUCUCCCGGCUCUCCUCUUUUCUCAGAGCCACUCCCCCUCUUGGCCCUGCAGCUCUUCCCUGCCCUGCCUCCUGUGGGCCACGCCCCUCCUGACUUUGCCGACCACGCCCUGGCCCCGCCCCAGGCCGCCUGGCCCUAUCCCUAUUUGGUCACUGGGGGGGACUGGCGGCGGCGUCUGCAGGGGAGCGGUAAGGGCGGAAGGGGACGCGGAGCGGUCGCGUGCGCGGAGAGCAGCUCUGGGCGCCGGGCGGUUGCUGCGGGCGCUCAGGGGCCCUGGGAACAAUGGCGCUGUGCGCGCGGGCCGCGCUGCUGCUGGGCGUGCUGCAGGUGCUGGCGCUGCUAGGGGCUGCGCAGGACCCGACCGACGCUCAGGGCUCUCCAAGUGGAAACCACUCUGUGCUGACCUCCAAUAUUAACAUAACAGGUAAAUUUGAAAGAUUCAAGGUUUCCUUCCAGGUAGCUAUAGCCAUACUGGCCUGGUAAGUGUAGUUAAGCUGAUAUAACAGCCUCAGCCUCAGCCUCAGCUGAGGUUCCCUCCUCCCAGAUGACUGAAGCUUUUGUCAAAUUGACAGAAAACAGUAACCAGGACAGGCCAAGUCUCAAACAAAAAGAAAAAUACUGCUUUUUUUUUAAUAUUGCAGGAAAGAAUUUUAUAUUCUGCAUGUGGCUGAUGAAUGUGUGAGUCUUCAGGCCCUCUAAUGAGCAGAAUUCCUCUGCACCAUCCUGGCUGUCUCUAAAUGCAUCUCUUUUCCAUCAGAUUCCAACCUGCCAUAUUUAGUGAAACAGUUAGGCCCUCAGCUCACACUUAGUUUGGGACAAAUGAGCUCCUUCUUGGGGCUGUGCACUCAGUAGCUUGCAAGUGUUAUCAUAUUGCAUAACAGGGCAUCUUCUCAAUGGCCUUGUUUCCAAGGCUGAGUCAGAAACUGGAAAAGGUUACAUAUAUUCUGGUCUUCCUCAGUACUUAACUGCAUGUCUGUGAUACACCAUCACAGCCUGGUUGCUUGGGGCACAAAGUGGGCUACACCUUAAACUCCCUCAAGUGUUUGUGUUUAAUAUUCUCAUGGCAAAACAUAGAUGAGAUAAAAUUACUGACUUCUACCCCUUAAGUUUACAGUUCCUGCCAUUAUGUGCAUUCAUUCACAUUGUGCAACUGUAUGGAGUUGUCAUUGUUAAUUUCUUCGGACCAUGCCAAUCAACACAGCUUAGGCUUGCCUCAAGUUCACUGUGUGAAAUACAAGCUGGUCCUGAACUUGUAGUCUUCCUGGCUCAGCCUUGUGGGUACUAGGAUUAGAGACUCUCAGCACCUCCCUGGUCAUGAGCUUCUGUCCCAGUGGGCCCCCUGGAGUCCCGUUUGUUUCUCCCUCACAACUUUGUGCUUUGUUCUCCUCAGCCCCGCCUUUCCUGCCUGUGCCUGGG